UCUCCUUUCCUCGCGCGUUUUGCUUUUUCAUCCCUCUCGCUCUGCUGAUGUCAUCUGGCCUGGGAAGAGCCUGGAGCUGCGCAGCCGUUCAGGCGAAGGACAGUGAUGAUGAUGAUGAAGUCACCGUUAGUGUGGACCGGGACCGCUUCAUGGAUGAGUUCUUUGAACAGGUAGAAGAAAUUCGAGGGUUCAUUGAUAAAAUCUCAGAGAACGUGGAGGAAGUGAAGAGGAAGCACAGUGCCAUUCUUGCUUCGCCCAACCCUGAUGAGAAAACAAAGGAAGAGCUGGAAGAGCUGAUGUCUGACAUAAAAAAGACAGCGAACAAAGUGCGCUCCAAGCUAAAGAGUAUUGAGCAGAGCAUUGAACAAGAAGAAGGACUGAACAGGUCAUCUGCUGACCUGAGGAUAAGGAAAACUCAGCACUCAACGCUGUCGCGCAAGUUCGUAGAAGUGAUGUCUGAGUACAACGCCACGCAGACUGACUACCGGGAGCGCUGCAAGGGCAGGAUUCAGAGACAGCUGGAGAUCACUGGCAGGACCACCACCAGUGAGGAGCUGGAGGACAUGCUGGAGAGCGGCAACCCAGCCAUCUUCUCCUCUGGGAUCAUUAUGGAUUCAAACAUCACCAAGCAGGCACUGAAUGAGAUUGAGACACGGCACAGUGAGAUCAUCAAGCUGGAGAACAGCAUCCGAGAGCUGCAUGACAUGUUCAUGGACAUGGCCAUGCUGGUGGAGAGCCAGGGCCACUGGGCAGGGUGACGUCUGCACGGUGCCGGGGAGCAGCAGGGAAGGAAGGAGCUCACGUAUGUGCACAUGGGCGUGUGGGCUCUGUCCCUACUCUGCAGGGUGAGAUGAUUGACCGCAUUGAGUACAACGUGGAACACUCUGUGGACUACGUGGAGCGGGCUGUGUCUGACACCAAAAAAGCAGUGAAGUACCAGAGCAAAGCCAGACGGAAGAAGAUCAUGAUCAUUAUCUGCUGUGUGAUCCUGGGUAUUGUCAUUGCCUCCACCUUCGGCGGUAUUUUCGGAUAGACUCACCCCACGGGACUGUUUGUGAUGGAUGGAGCCGCGCGUGCCAUGGGGCUGCAACCACACGGGAGCGAACCACGCAGCCCCCGGAGCCUCCCAGCAGCAUUUCAGUUUCUAAUGCAUGGUUGUUUGUGAUGCUGUGUGUGCGGUGCGUCUGUGUGGAGGGAGCACCAGCCUUGGGGUGCAGGCGGGGUGCAGGGGACAGUGAUGGGCGUGAGGGGGACCUUUGGGGAGAACCUGAGCUCUCAUCACUGCACCAGCCUGAGAGGCUGGCUGGGACCAGGUGGGGACAGAGGUACCAUUGGGCACUGCUGCUCUUCCUGUGCUAGGCAGUUUGUGUUAGUGACACCUGAAGAUGAGACCAAUGAUGGGCAGAGUCCUCAGGAGCACAGAGCCCAGUCAACUUUCCCCAGCUUUUCCCAUCACCUUCAGCCAGAUCUCGUGUCUGUCAGCCACAUCCGUGCUUGCAAAACACUUUUCCUCAGGCUGCUUCACUCAUGGGGCACUUCCCCAGGGGUGCACUCUGCCAGGCUCUGCCCUCCCCGUGCCCAUGCCUGGCUGCAGGGCUCCAUUCCUGCUGCUCUGCUAGUGGUGGAGCUGCCUGCUGCCCUGUGCAAGCCCUCGCCCCAGUGCAGGUGCCUCGGGCUGGAUUUGCUGCUGCUGGCCAGUGGUGCUGCUUGGGGCCAUAUCUGAUGCUUAGGGAUGGGGACAGUCACAUGGCGGCUCAGUGCUGCACCUCAGUACUGGCCUGGCAGGGCAAGAGGCCACAGGUGGUUUGAGGCCACCAAGUUUCACUGGCUGCUUGCCCUGCUCCAAAUCCUCCAUGUUCUGUUCUCAGCUCUGGCACACAGUGGCCCUGGCUCUUGCUGUCCCCAGGCCUGGGCUUAGGCAGUCAGAGUUUGAGGACAGCUCUGACACCCACAGCCCCAGGUGGUGCUUACCUGGGAGCAAGGCUUUACCCAGCCUGACUCCUCCACAUAUGCACUCUUGGGCUGGGGGCUGGAGGCAGGGGGGCUUUCUCCUGUCACAGUCCCAGGGAGCAGUAAAGGCUUGCAUCCACACCCUGCAAGCUAAGAGCAGCAGCCUUCUUUCUCCUCCUUUCUGUCACCAGCUCCUGAGCAGGGCAGGGCCUGACCUCUCUUUCCAUCUCUGCCACAUCUGAGCAUCUGCCUGCCACCUCCUCCUGGCACAGUGUCCUGCUGCCUGCUCUUCCCCGGGGCCAUCAGGGAGACACCUGUGCACUGUGGGCUGCUGUGCCAGCACCUAGGUGCCCUAUGCUGUCAGCUGUAUCUACUGCAUGGAUGCAGCCACUUCUGGGCUGGCCUUGAGCCUGCUGGCAGCUCAGAGGGGCCGUGUUGCCACUAUCCUGUUACUUCCAUGCUGCUGCCUCAGUCCAACAGCAGGGGUCUGCCCUUGUAUUCCUUGGGAGAGUCUGGUGCUCUGGCUGGCCCAUGAAAUGCCAAAGCACUGUGGAGGAGCCCGAGCAGGGUAGGUGCUGGUGCCAAGCUUGCAGACCUGCACCAGGGUGGAGGCUGGACAUGAGCCCAGAUGCUGGUAGCAGAAAAGGGGCACUUGAUGGCAGUGAGUACUCCAGCUGCAGGCAGCAUGCUGCCUCACCGUUCCAACCAGGGGCAGCUGAUCGCACCCCACCUCCACGUUCCCUGAGGGCUAAGGAGUGCAAGCUGGGGUGGAAGGGCGAGGGCAGGCCUGGUUGGAGCUGAGCCCUGCUCCCACCCCGCAAUCCGCCAUCCUGCCUGGCUGGUAUAGCACUGCCACUGGCCUUGUGCAGUGUGCCCACAGGUGUAGGGUGCAGGGCAGCAGGCUGUAGCCAGGACACAGUCCUGCUUUCCCUGAGCACAGCCCUCCCUGUCACUAUUACCAAAGGUCCCACAACACAACCCUGCUUGCAUUCUGUCAUUGUUGGGGAGCGUGUCCAGCCCAGUCCCCCAUCCUGCCCAGCCCAAGCCCUCAGCACCUGUGGCCAUGAGAACAUCCAAGACCACAGUCCCCUUCUUCCACAGUCCUGUGACAUCUAAUAUUAGCUACACCACUGCAGCCUGUGUGUGCACAAUGGCUUGGGGCACUGGGACCCCUGCAAGCAGAGGCAGGCAGGCUCUGGAGACCCCUCCAGGGUAGGAAGCAGGCACUGGCAUAGCCCUUGCUGCGUGGGCAUGUCUGGCUACAGGAGAGAGAGGUGGAGGUGAUGUACAAUGCCUGCUGCUUCUGCCCCAGUGCUGGUGCCUGCCACUGCAAUCUACACACUGCUGUGCUAAGCCAGUGAGAGCACUAGGCCCCCUCCUCUGGGAAGCAAUAACACUUCUGGUAGGGCUACUCCUAGGCAGGCAGGCAAGAAAGUUCAUCUCAGGCUCUGACCCCGCAGCAAUGCCCACUGCUAGCACAAGGGGACUUUUUUUUCUUCCAAGAAAUGGUUUCUGUGAUACAAGCUCAGAUGACAUCAGUGCCCACCCCCGUCAAGGCACAAAGCCAAGAACAGCAGUGGUGUGGUUACUGACACUUGCGCCUUGUCGAUACCACCACUGCCAGCAGCAGGAGCCAGACGGCACUGUGAUUUUGCCACUGGCACUUUGCUGGGAUCGUGCAGGCAGUGAUGGCUGCAUGCUCUGACAUGAUGGAGGCAGAGGAGCAUGCUGCCUUCACUGCCCUGCAGGCUGUCUCUCACUGUCCUCGCUGUGAGGGGAGGGUGUUUUGGUGCAAUAAUUACCCCUGCACUAUGGGAAGCCCCGUUCAGUUCCUUUUUACCUGCCUGUCAUUGCAUGUACAGACUGAAUCACCAAUAGUGUGGUUGUGCUUUGAGGAAACAUUUCACUUUUUCUUUCUAGCCCCCAACCUCAGACCACUUAUCCUUUGGGUUAUGACACCUCUGUUCCAAGUGCCACCUGCCCUCCUAGCACCAUGAGCAUGUUGAUGCAGUAUUUUAUGAGCAGUGUGGGGCACACACAGCUUGCACUUGAAUUGGGGAUUGGGGAUUUAUUUUUUUUAGUUGUUGUUUUUUUGUUUGUUUGUUUUUUAGUAAGUAAUGUACUUGAAGGCUUUCCAAGCCCUCUGUGGAGUUGUACUGUUGCUGUACUGUGAGCUAAGUGUCCUUGUUUUCUAUGUGGAUCUUGACCCUGGCUUGCUCUGUCUCACUGGGCUGGAUGACACUGUAUUGUUGCCUCUUUUCUCCUUUCACCCUUUCCAUCCCUGCUAAUCUCCCUUCCUUCUCCCAAAGCUUUGGGUGCAAAACAGCUUCCCAUUUUGUGGAAUUUUUAUGUAGAAUAAACGUUUGUAACUGUAAAGCUCUGGGCUGGCACUUCUAUUUAAAGGGAGGGGAGGAAGUGACAGGCAGCAACGGUUGCACUUCAGAGAUUCCAACACCCUCAGAGCAUUAAUGCAUACAGGGUGGGCCUGAUUUGAAGCGGAUGCAGGAGGAAUCACCAUAGGAAUGUUCAGAUAACACUUCUGCCAUUCUGC